CAUAUCAACCCUGAGGCGUGAUGACGAGUCACUACGGUGAUGAAGUAGUUGAUGCCAAGCUUCCAGGAAAAGCCUCUAAGCUCUAGGUAACAUUGAAUCGUACCCCAAACCGACACAGGUGGUCAGGUAGAGAAUACCAAGGCGCUUGAGAGAACUCGGGUGAAGGAACUAGGCAAAAUGGUGCCGUAACUUCGGGAGAAGGCACGCUGGCGCGUAGGUGAAGUCCCUUGCGGAUGGAGCUGAAGCCAGUCGAAGAUACCAGCUGGCUGCAACUGUUUAAUAAAAACACAGCACUGUGCAAACACGAAAGUGGACGUAUACGGUGUGACGCCUGCCCGGUGCUGGAAGGUUAAUUGAUGGGGUCAGCCGCAAGGCGAAGCUCUUGAUCGAAGCCCCAGUAAACGGCGGCCGUAACUAUAACGGUCCUAAGGUAGCGAAAUUCCUUGUCGGGUAAGUUCCGACCUGCACGAAUGGCGUAAUGAUGGCCAGGCUGUCUCCACCCGAGACUCAGUGAAAUUGAACUCGCUGUGAAGAUGCAGUGUACCCGCGGCAAGACGGAAAGACCCCGUGAACCUUUACUAUAGCUUGACACUGAACAUUGAGCCUUGAUGUGUAGGAUAGGUGGGAGGCUUUGAAGCGUGGACGCCAGUCUGCGUGGAGCCAACCUUGAAAUACCACCCUUUAAUGUUUGAUGUUCUAACUCCGGUCCCUAAUCGGGAUUGAGGACAGUGUCUGGUGGGUAGUUUGACUGGGGCGGUCUCCUCCUAAAGAGUAACGGAGGAGCACGAAGGUUAGCUAAUCACGGUCGGACAUCGUGAGGUUAGUGCAAUGGCAUAAGCUAGCUUGACUGCGAGAGUGACGGCUCGAGCAGGUACGAAAGUAGGUCAUAGUGAUCCGGUGGUUCUGAAUGGAAGGGCCAUCGCUCAACGGAUAAAAGGUACUCCGGGGAUAACAGGCUGAUACCGCCCAAGAGUUCAUAUCGACGGCGGUGUUUGGCACCUCGAUGUCGGCUCAUCACAUCCUGGGGCUGAAGUAGGUCCCAAGGGUAUGGCUGUUCGCCAUUUAAAGUGGUACGCGAGCUGGGUUUAGAACGUCGUGAGACAGUUCGGUCCCUAUCUGCCGUGGGCGUUGGAAGAUUGAGAGGGGCUGCUCCUAGUACGAGAGGACCGGAGUGGACGCAUCACUGGUGUUCGGGUUGUCAUGCCAAUGGCAUUGCCCGGUAGCUAAAUGCGGAAAAGAUAAGCGCUGAAAGCAUCUAAGCGCGAAACUUGCCUCGAGAUGAGUCUUCCCUGAGACCUUGAGUCUCCUAAAGGAACGUUUAAGACUAAGACGUUGAUAGGCUGGGUGUGUAAGCGUAGCGAUACGUUGAGCUAACCAGUACUAAUGAUCCGUGAGGCUUAACC
rnacentral:rRNA from 1 species